UAGGGAAUAUUGCAAAAUGGGCGAAAGCCCGAUGCAGCAACGCCGCGUGGGCGAUGAAGGCCUUCGGGUCGUAAAGCCCUUUUUGAGGGGAUGAGGAAGGACAGUACCCUCAGAAUAAGCCUCGGCUAACUACGUGCCAGCAGCCGCGGUAAAACGUAGGAGGCGAGCGUUAUCCGGAUUUACUGGGCGUAAAGCGCGUGCAGGCGGAUUGGAGAGUUGGAUGUGAAAGCUCCCGGCUUAACUGGGAGAGGUCGUGCAAUACUUCCAGGCUUGAGUGCAGUAGAGGGAAGUGGAAUUCCGGGUGUCGUGGUGAAAUGCGUAGAUAGCCGGAGCAACACCAGUGGCGAAAGCGGCUUCCUGGACUGUAACUGACGCUCAGACGCGAAAGCUAGGGUAGCAAACG
rnacentral:rRNA from 1 species